GACGAACGCUGGCGGCGUGCUUAACACAUGCAAGUCGAACGGUGAAGGGAUCAGCUUGCUGGUUCUGGAUGAGUGGCGAACGGGUGAGUAACACGUGAGUAACCUGCCCCCUUCUUCUGGAUAACCGCAUGAAAGUGUGGCUAAUACGGGAUAUUCUGCGCCUGCUGCAUGGUGGGUGUGGGAAAGAUAUUGUUUCGGUGGGGGAUGGGCUCGCGGCCUAUCAGCUUGUUGGUGGGGUGAUGGCCUACCAAGGCGGUGACGGGUAGUCGGCCUGAGAGGGUGGACGGUCACACUGGGACUGAGACACGGCCCAGACUCCUACGGGAGGCAGCAGUGGGGAAUAUUGCACAAUGGGCGCAAGCCUGAUGCAGCGACGCCGCGUGAGGGAUGGAGGCCUUCGGGUUGUGAACCUCUUUCGCCAGUGAAGCAGGCCUGUCCCUUGUGGGUGGGUUGACGGUAGCUGGAUAAGAAGCGCCGGCUAACUACGUG
rnacentral:rRNA from 1 species